AAGAAAGGAGCAUGGACGGUUUAAAUGCGACUGGCUUGAAACCAGUGUAGGGAGGUUCGAUUCCUUCCUUUCUUG
rnacentral:tRNA from 1 species